rnacentral:lncRNA from 1 species
UGCAGACGUGACUUGGAUCCUGCAUGGUUGUGGCUGUGGUGUAGGCCGGCAGCUGGGGCUUGGAUUGGACCCCUACCUGGGAACCUCCAUAUGCCUCGGGUGCGGCCCUAAAAAGAAAAAGAACCUAACAAAGUAGGAGACCCUCAUUAUACAGAAACCUGAGAUGAUUCAACAUGUUUUAACAUUGUUAUCACCCUUCUGCUGAUUUGAAUAAGUGCCAAUGACAGUCCUAGUUUGACCUCAUAGGGUCAAAUACUCUCUUAUGGGAUACGAAGGAGGAGCUAAUGAUGUAAGCCUUGAAGAAAAAAGAAUGAGGAAGAAGUCUGUUUUUUCCCCUCUUCCCCUGGAUUAUAAAAAUGUUGCCCACCUAAUCCUUGGGGCAGAACUACUUUGCCUGCCUGCAUAUCUCUCACAAGCAUCCUAUCUUAAUAAAUCUAUUUCUUGCCUAUCACUUUGUCUCUUGUUGAACUACUUCUGUGCUGAGACAAAAACAGCUUGAACCUCAGUAAGUCCAGAAACCAGAUAAGUGAUUCUAAUUUAAAAACAAACAUGGGUUCAAGUCACAAUUUGGGUUUUGGAUGAGUUCAAGUCAGAAGUAUUAUUGGUAUCAUAAGAGGAAAGGAGCCAAAGAGGUAAUUUCAAGUGCCUGGUACAUAGUAGGUAUUGAGUACAUGUUAAAUCAAUUACUUUAAGGAAGGCCAAAAGCAGUGUCCUCAAGUCGCAGGUAUUUUUGCCUUUGGGCAAGUCAUUCACCCUCUCUAGGCCUUAGUUUUCUUGUCUAUGGAAUUGAAGUUAUCAUUGGAUUAUUGUGCCAUUUAAAUAAGACCAGGUCAUGGGAUUUCUGUAAAUCGCCAGAACCAGCAGCUGCAGUUGCUGCUAUAAAGAUGGUGGUGGCGGUGGUGAUGAGAAAGGAGCAGGGAAGAAAAUCAGGAUCCAGAAAUUCCAGAACUGUACCAGUUCAAACAAGGAACUCUCAGGAAGUCCAGACAAUGUGCAGAAUUUCCAGGACUCCUGUGUCUUCAUUUGUUAUCGCUGGAACACUUCCUAUGUACCAUUAGAGUUCCCAUUGUGGCUCAGCAGGUUAAGAACCCGGCUAGUAUCCAUGAGGAUGUGGUUUGAUCCCUGGCCUUGCUCAGUGGGUUAGGGAUUUGGUGUUGCUGGGCGCUGCUCCGUGUAAGUCAAAGACUGGGCUUGGAUCUGACAUUGCGUGGCUGUGGUGAAGGCUGGCUGCUGCAGCUCCAAUUUGACCCCUAGCCUGAGAACUUCCAUAUGCUGCAGAUGCAGCACUAAAAAGAGAGAGAGAUGGAGUUCUCGUCGCAGCUCAGUGGUUAAUGAAUCCGACUAGGAACCAUGAGGUUGUGGGUUCGAUCCCUGGCCUUGCUAAGUGGGUUAAGGAUCUGGUGUUGCCAUGAGCUGUGGUGUAGGUCGAAGACGCGGCUUGGAUCUGGUGUAGGCCGGCAGCUACAGCUCCGAUUCGACCCCUAGCCUGGAAACCUCCAUAUGCCGUGGGAGCGGCCCAAGAAAUGGCAAAAAGACAAAAAAAAAAAAAAAAAAAAGAGAGAGAGAGAGAGAGAUAGGUGACCUGACUUCCCCAAGGGAAAUACAGCUACACAGUGGCUGAGGCAGGAUUUGAACUUAGAUCUGUGUUGUUCUAAAAUCCUUGUUCUUUCUGCUUUCAAAUUCCACAGCUUCUUCAGUUUUCUCUUGACUCACCAGAACAUUUAUCGAGCAUCAACUAAGUGCUUGGCCUUCCUCAGGGGCAGGGGCUACAAGACCAUCUAAGGCUAUUUCCAGGUCAAGCUAGGACUUCAGUUGAGGUCCUCAUUGAGGCAGACAACUCAAAUGACAUUUACAAUUCAGCGUGAUGAGCUCUAGAAGAGUGUGCCAUUGUCUUGGGCUUACCUUUCUCUAUGGUCUGUGGACUCCAGGUACAUCUCAACCUCGCCAAGUGGUUUCCUUCAAAUCCACCUCCGUGGGGUGGAGGGUGUUUUUCAGUGGCAACCAAACAGUAAUCAACAAUGUUCUCCAAAAGAGAUCCCUUCUGUGGAGUUCCCUACUGGCUCAUCAGGUUAAGGAUCUGGCAUUGUCACUGCUGUGGCAUGGGUUCGAUCCCUGGCCUGGGAACUUCCACAUGCUCUGGGUGCAGCACCCCUCCCCCCACCAAAAAUCCCUCCCCACCAGGCUCUCCUCUCUCCAUCUGUCUCUGUCUCUGUCUCUGUCUCUCUCUCUCACACACACACACACACACACCACACACACACACACACGCACGCACUCCAUGAUGACGGGAGAUGGGUGAUGGCAUAACGCUGGUAGAACCGGUUUCUCCAUCCUUGGCAUGCCCUACUUGGGUGAUCCAUGGUUCAUGGCAUUUGUUACCUCUGCCAAAAUGACAGGAAGCUUGCAUUUAAGAUCCUGUCACACAUUCAUUAAAAAGAAAUCAGGAAGGAAAGCCACUCAAUCAAUAGGGAUUAUCUCUGUGUGGUGAAGUUAGUUAUGUGUAAUCUCUAUUUUCUUCUUUUUACUUAUUUACUUAAAUUUUUUUUCUAACACGGAUUUAUGACUUUCGUAACUAGCAAAACUGUGCUAAAAGUUAUCUGUGGCCUCACAGGUGUGGGAGAAGAUCUAUUAGAAGCAAUCUCAGAAGAGCCUUUGUUCUAAGCACGGCAGGGACUGGACAAAACAGCCGUCGGGGGUGGGGAAGUGAGAGGUCAUCAAGGAUUAAAAGCAAGACCAGGAGUUCCCAUUGUGGUUCAACGGAAAGGAAUCUGACUAGUAACCAUGAGGUUGGGGGUUCGAUCCCUGGCCUGGCUCAGUGGGUUAAGGAUCUGGCAUUGCUGUGAGCUGUGGUGUAGGUCGCAGAUGAGUCAGAUCCUGUGUUGCUAUGGCUGUGGUGUAGGCCAGCAGCUACAGCUCCAAUUCAACCUCUAGCCUGGGAAUCUCCAUAUGCCCUGAGUGUGGCC